CAGCCGCCACGGGAAUACGAAGGGGGCUAGCGUUGCUCGGAAUGACUGGGUGUAAAGGGUGUGCAGACGGCUUAUUAAGUCACUUGUUAAAUUCUUCGGCCUAACUGAAGGUCUGCAAGUGAUACUGAUGAGCUAGAGGGUGGAAGAGAGAAGUGGAAUUCUCGGAGUAGCGGUAAAAUGCGUAGAUCUCGAGAGGAACACCAAUGGCGAAGGCAGCUUCUUGGUCCAUUCCUGACGUUCAUACACGAAAGCGUGGGGAGCAAACAGGAUUAGAUACCCCAGUAGUCCCUGUCUCUUAUAC
rnacentral:rRNA from 1 species